rnacentral:rRNA from 1 species
AGGACGAACGCUGGCGGCGUGCUAAUACAUGCAAGUCGAGCGGACCGACGGGAGCUUGCUCCCUUAGGUCAGCGGCGGACGGGUGAGUAACACGUGGGUAACCUGCCUGUAAGACUGGGAUAACUCCGGGAAACCGGGGCUAAUACCGGAUGCUUGAUUGAACCGCAUGGUUCCAAUCAUAAAAGGUGGCUUUCAGCUACCACUUACUGAUGGACCCGCGGCGCAUUAGCUAGUUGGUGAGGUAACGGCUCACCAAGGCGACGAUGCGUAGCCGACCUGAGAGGGUGAUCGGCCACACUGGGACUGAGACACGGCCCAGACUCCUACGGGAGGCAGCAGUAGGGAAUCUUCCGCAAUGGACGAAAGUCUGACGGAGCAACGCCGCGUGAGUGAUGAAGGUUUUCGGAUCGUAAAACUCUGUUGUUAGGGAAGAACAAGUACCGUUCGAAUAGGGCGGCACCUUGACGGUACCUAACCAGAAAGCCACGGCUAACUACGUGCCAGCAGCCGCGGUAAUACGUAGGUGGCAAGCGUUGUCCGGAAUUAUUGGGCGUAAAGCGCGCGCAGGCGGUUUCUUAAGUCUGAUGUGAAAGCCCCCGGCUCAACCGGGGAGGGUCAUUGGAAACUGGGGAACUUGAGUGCAGAAGAGGAGAGUGGAAUUCCACGUGUAGCGGUGAAAUGCGUAGAGAUGUGGAGGAACACCAGUGGCGAAGGCGACUCUCUGGUC